rnacentral:rRNA from 1 species
AUUGUGUGAAUACAUAGCACAUUCGAGGUAGACGCAGAGAACUGAAACAUCUAAGUACCUGCAGGAAGAGAAAGAAAAUUCGAUUCCCUGAGUAGCGGCGAGCGAAACGGGAAAAGCCCAAACCAGCAAGCUUGCUUGUUGGGGUUGUAGGACUCCAAUAUGGUAGUUCUUUCAGAUAGUCGAAUGACUUGGAAAAGUCAGUCAAAGAGGGUAAAAACCCCGUAGACGAAAUGUGGAAGACACCUAGGAGGAUCCUGAGUACGGCGGAACACGAGAAAUUCCGUCGGAAUCCGGGAGGACCAUCUCCCAAGGCUAAAUACUCCCUAGUGACCGAUAGUGAACCAGUACCGUGAGGGAAAGGUGAAAAGCACCCCGGAAGGG